GUCCGAGACUCAGUCCCCGAGGACGCUUCCCGUCAUGCACCGCUGGCGCCGGGAAGCGCCCCCUCACCCUCAGCCCUCAGCGUGGAGGAUGCUUUUGAGAUGACGCUGAGGAGGACAUCGUGCGGCAGUGGUUUCACGCCCUCUGGGGAAAGCCCAGCCCAGCCGCGGAAGGAAUGUGUCCCGAAGCCACACCGUCAGUUAGUAGCACUGCCGGGACUAGAGAAUCGAACUCGUGCCUUCUGGGCUCACAGGGCCGGAAGCUGCGGCUUCGUAAAUGUUUGUAGAAAGGCCCUACCAUAAGAAUCAGGAGGAAAAAAAAAAAAAAAGAAAAA